AACGCGAAGAACCUUACCUGGGCUUGAACUACUCGUGGUAGUUCGCUGGAAACAGUGGACGACCCGCAAGGGAGCGAGCAGAGGUGCUGCAUGGUUGUCGUCAGCUCGUGUCGUGAGAUGUUGGGUUAAGUCCCGCAACGAGCGCAACCCCUAUCCAAUGUUGCUACUCCCGUAAGGGAGGCACUCUUUGGAAACUGCCUUCGAUAAGAAGGAGGAAGGUGGGGACGACGUCAAAUCCUCAUGGCCCUUAUGUCCAGGGCAACACACGUGUUACAAUGGCCGGUACAAUGGGAAGCAAUACCGUAAGGUGGAGCAAAACUCAUAAAGCCGGCCCCAGUUCAGAUUGUGGGCUGCAACUCGCCCACAUGAAGGCGGAAUUGCUAGUAAUCGCUGAUCAGCAGGCAGCGGUGAAUACGUUCCCGGGCCUUGUA
rnacentral:rRNA from 1 species